GUGGCGAACGGGUGAGUAACACGUGAGUAACCUGCCCUUGACUCUGGGAUAAGCCUGGGAAACCGGGUCUAAUACUGGAUACGACCUUCCCGCGCAUGCGGUGUUGGUGGAAAGCUUUUGUGGUUUUGGAUGGACUCGCGGCCUAUCAGCUUGUUGGUGGGGUAAUGGCCUACCAAGGCGACGACGGGUAGCCGGCCUGAGAGGGUGACCGGCCACACUGGGACUGAGACACGGCCCAGACUCCUACGGGAGGCAGCAGUGGGGAAUAUUGCACAAUGGGCGCAAGCCUGAUGCAGCGACGCCGCGUGAGGGAUGAAGGCCUUCGGGUUGUAAACCUCUUUCAGUAGGGAAGAAGCUGAUUCCUUUUGGGGUUGGUGACGGUACCUGCAGAAGAAGCGCCGGCUAACUACGUGCCAGCAGCCGCGGUAAUACGUAGGGCGCAAGCGUUAUCCGGAAUUAUUGGGCGUAAAGAGCUCGUAGGCGGUUUGUCGCGUCUGCCGUGAAAGUCCGGGGCUUAACUCCGGAUCUGCGGUGGGUACGGGCAGACUAGAGUGCAGUAGGGGAGACUGGAAUUCCUGGUGUAGCGGUGAAAUGCGCAGAUAUCAGGAGGAACACCGAUG
rnacentral:rRNA from 1 species